AUUGCUUCCGGCCUUUUGACUAAGAUCAAGUGCAGUGUGGGCUCUUAUCAGUUUAAUAUCUGAUACUUCCCUUAUCCGGGUACCAUAUAGUACAUAGAUUUUUUCUUAGUACGUGGGCCGAUGGGAAGCUUGCUUCCAUCGCCCCAUGCCUGGACCCGCUAUGGUGGUAUCUUCGGGUACAGUACAACAAAU